rnacentral:lncRNA from 1 species
GGAGAGGCACCAAAUCUGGCCUGGGGGCCCGAGAAGCUUCCUCUCAGUGACCACAAUAUGAAUGGGAACAGCAAGACGGCAAAAGCUUGCUGAGUGGUGCAGCGCCAGCCUGGGUAGUGGCCUCCCCAGCAAGUUGCAUGUCACUAGCUUCCUGUGGCUGUCACUCCUGGGCCCAGGCACCUCCGAAGAUCAGCACCUCCUCAUGGGCUCAAGCGAGGACAGGAGCCCGUCACCCAUGAGCUCGCAAGGGCAGAGCCACUGUCCUGUCUCGAUGGCUCCACCGUGACUCCAGUGGACUUUGGACAGUGGGGAGCAGGCCCAAUAGGGCCACUCGGAUGUGGUCACUCUGGAUUUGGGUGGAUCAGCACCAAGCUAGACUCAUCCCCAGCCCCCAGGUGCUGUUGCGCUCCUGCGUGAGUCCCCAUCCACAGCUGCAGCUGUGGCGGGGUGGCUAGUGGUGGCCAGCAUGGCCCUGCUGUAGCUCCACGCUGUGGGGGGCGUGGCCCUGACCAGCAGCCACCCCUCCAUGUGGGCCACAGUGGAGGAGCUUAGGAAGCCGCCUUGGCAAGGUCCCGCAGGCUCUGCGUCUGGUGUGGAAGAGCUCAAGGCGAAGCACUCCUGCCCAGGACCCGAGGAGCCGGCCACUGUUCAGAAGGCCCCAGCUUGAAGGCCUGGAGAGCCGCCCAGCA